GAUUUUUUCUAUUCGCUGUUUCCAGGUGAAAACUGAAAGGCAUGGCGCUGAAGAUGUGUCAUCUGCUACAUGAAAGAAGUCAAAGCUGAAUCGCUCUGAUGGGUUCAUAAAUUAUAUGAUGGGUCAGAAUUCUCAUUUUGUUAGAGGAACAUCACAUGUCACACAAUUGGAUGAAUCACAUGACAACCCUGUAGACAAUGAUAGAAACGAUGGAGAUGAAGAAGUUAGGACUGAGGCCAAGCUAAUAUGGAAAUCAGAGGAAGAUGGGAGAGUGAUGAGUGCUUGGCUCAAACACUCCAUCGACCCAAUUGGUGGAAACAACAAGAAGUCUGACAAAUAUUGGACGGAUGUGAUGCAGGAGUACAAUCAAGCUACUGUCAAGAAUAGAUGGAGGACUGCUAAGCAGGUUAAAGAUAGAUGGCACAAAAUCAAUAAAUUGACAAAUUCGUUCAAUGAUUGUUGGGUGAAAGCUAGGAGGGUUUACACCAGUGGAUACUCGGAUGAAAUGUGGUUAGAUAAAGCACAUAAAUUUUUUGAGGAUGAGAACAAAGGAUUACGUUUUCAGCUUAUGAAUGUUUGGUACAUGGUUCGUAACGAGGCUAAGUGGAUAAGUUAUAACAAUAAUAUCCAUGGCAAGAGGAAGGAGAUGGAGAAUGGCAGCACACAAGGAGGAGGACUAGAAGAUGUGGACCUUCCUCGACCAAUGGGACAGAAGGCAGCUAAAAGAGCUGCACUUGAAGCAAAAGGAAAAUAUAAAGCGAGUGCGAUAAAUGUGGAGGAGCUUGAUAGAUUUGAAAAAAUUCAAAACAAUGUUGCAGACAAUCGUAUGAAGGCUCUUGAAAUGCAGGGA
rnacentral:misc_RNA from 1 species